UCUGCUGCCAAUCUUCCUCUUUUUGUAUGUGGGCCACUGCCACAGCAUGGCCACUGACAGACGAGCAGUGUACGUCUGCAUCCAGGGACCAAACCCAGGCUACUGAAGUGGAGUGCGCUGAACUUAACUACUAGGCCAGCAGAGCUGGCCUGCAGUUUGCAUUUAAAAUGGCCAAUAUUCUUUCUUCUCUUUAACCUCAGGCUUUAUCAACUGGGCUAGCCAGGCUCAGUCUCAAGCAAUUGUGGACUGUUAUCUCCUGGGGUAUUUAUAUGUUCCAAAGACAGUAAAAUUUACAAUUUCAAAGGACAGAGAACAAAAAUGGAAGUUUUUGUCCUGGGAGUUUCAGAGUAAUUGCUUUUUAAAUUUUUCCUGCUUUUCUUAAGUGCAGGACAAUUGUACUUUCAAUAUCCUGAUUUUGAUGUUUUUCUAGUAUAGACAAUUUAAAGGAUACAUCAUCUGGCCAUUAACAAGUAGGCUCUUAACAGUGACUCAAACCAAUAAGUUUUUAUAGAGCUUAACCAAAGACACAAUGUGUCCCUAAAGGAGAGUGCAAAUGAUGAAGUCCUCACAAGAUCCAGAAAGUUUACUCCAAAAGUACAGGCUAAAAAAUCAAAGGCCUUCAUUGCACAGGUGAUAAGCAUGGUGUAGUGAAAACGAUGUCUCCAGUCUCCCACAGGAACACAGGAUGACUCCAGUCACAAACCCACUAGUUUAUGACGCCAGGCAGGCACUACUAGAAUGGGACUUUUACAGCACUAACAAUGAAGGUUAAUAUGACAAAAGCCCCUUGUGGACUGGAACCCCUUAUGACAAACCCCCCUGAGAGCUGGCACCAGCAGACAAAGAGAGAGCUGUUUGUGACUUUUUGUCUCAGAACUCCAGUCUAUUUGACUGACCACCAGGUACAUUCCAGUAAUGCACCUUCUGGAUGUUGAAAGCCAGAGAAAAUACAUUCAGUGGUCACAAAACCAAGCUCUCAGGACAUAGAACAAGAUGGAAGGAAAAACUUUGUCCUGUUUUUACAUAGAAGACCCAGAGCAAAGUUUGUUUAAAUAGAUGCCAGUCUGGUGAGAACCAUAAAACUCAACAGUCUGUGAAACUGGCUCAAGCAGUAGGCUUACAAAGGGCCUGUACCUGCUGUCUUUCCCCAUGGUUCUUCAUCCUUAUAAAAAAUGACACAACAAAGACAAAGGAAAGCAAUGACCAUCUCUGGGAGGAAAAGUUCAACAAAAAUCAAGAGUACUCAUCCAAAUUUGCCAGAGUUGCUGGGCCCUAAGGAACUAAUUCCACAAAUAUUUUCCGCUAAUCUGAAUUUAUAGAGAAACAAAAAAAAAGAAACUCUCACCACUUUCGUACCAAUCAGAUUCUGCAGACAGAGUUCUGGGAGACUGACAUGGUAAGAAAUCUUACCUUUUUGCCAGCUUCUGUGUUAGACAUCCCAGGAUCUCUUAAACAAGUAACUUAAGUUCAAAAUAAUCAACGUGCCACUGUGGGAUAUUUUGAAGUGUCUGCCCUGGGCCCCUGCAGGAACUCCUUCAAGAUCUCUGGGAGAGCAUUCAGUUUAAGUUUGCUAAGGGCAGGGGCAGGAGAAGGAAGAGUGUUACAGGUAGGUGAACAACCUGUGCAAGGGUAGGAAGAGAGUAAAAAUAGACUUUUCUUUGAGGGUAAGCAUGAGAUUUGUCCUUCAAUCUAAAUGAUCCAUCACUUCAAUGGAUCACACCCAAAGGAGUGAAUCUCUAGGCAUCAAUAAAUAUGAUUAGAGACCUUUUAUGGGGGAGAUCCAAGACAUUCAGGCAACUCAGAAACAUAUCAAGUAGCUUUGGACUUGGUAGCUAGGGAGAAUGUGCUUGUUGUGAAAUAUUUGUUGUUUAAAAGGCUCAGGAUCUUCUGCUUUUCCCUCCUCUUUUUUUCUUGCAGUGGGCAGGGCCACAGUCCUCAAAUAGGUCCCUUGUAUUUUGCAGGAGGGUUUGUUUCCUUUGUUGAAGGGUGGAUGUGUAGCUCUGAGAUUUUUGUUUUUUCUUUCACCAGCAGUUAGGGAAAGGAUAGUGUGGCUCCUUUCUCUACUAAUCAUCUCAUAAUGGAGCCAUAUAAAUCUCAUCUUGAUUCCUCCACCCUCUAGGGACCCAGGCCUUUUCCUGGUCCUCCUUGAUCCCGGGGGACUCAGAGGCGAUGCAGAACACUAUGUGAGGGGAAAAAAAAACAAUAACAACAAAAAACAAAAACCAGGGGAAUGUCCUCCUUCUUUAUGCUAUUAUCAUCAUUCUUCAAUUCCCUGCUGAAAUGCUACACUCUUUCCAAGGAACCAUGUGGAAGAAAUAAUCUCUCCCUACCCUGAACAUCUCAACUUUUAGACCCUCUCAUGGUAAAGAACCUGAGGCCCAAAGACAUUGCAAAUAGCUUGCCUGAAGUCUCACAGUGGGGAUUCAGCAGCAGGAACUCCAGCACAGGUGGUCUGGCUCUGGAACACAUGCUCUUAGGCUUUAUGUUCCCUGGGAUAGGAACCCUGCCUUUCUCAUUUCUGUAUCUUUUAUGGAGUCUAACACUGACACUCGAGGCACAGUAGGUCCUUAACAGGAUUUCGUGAACACAGGAACUGAUCAUCAGGAAAAGAUUCUCAAUCACAGGCACGUGCAUUUCAGCAGACAAGGACAUAUCUCUCAAGGUUAUGGCAAAUUCAAGUUAGACUCGGAUAAGACAGGACUAAGGUAGGAAGAAACAGUCUUCAGUGUCAAGGAGGGUCAUUGAGGCCCACAGCACCCAGAGCACCACAAGACAGGGAAAGUCUCACCAAAGGACAAUGCCUCCAUCUGUGAAGAGGCAGGAGGCAGAAGGAGGAAGGAUGAGAAAAUGACUCCUGGGAACAUGUGCAUCCUACUCAGGCCUGCCUGGCCUAGGCAGAGCAGUACACCAGGACCGCUAUCAGAGCUACCACAGCUGGGACUCCAACCAUGAUGCCACCAAUGACCCCACCUGAGAGGCCAGCAGAAUUUCUUUGUGUUGGAUCAUCUGUCAUGGAAAGAAAAGAGAAGAAUGGCCAGACAUAGCCUAAAAGAUUCUCAGGCAGAUUGUGGACAAGUAGAAGAACAUCCGUUCCUUCAAGAGCAUCUGUCGGCACCGAUUCAAUAGUCGCCCCCUGGAGGGCAUGAGGAGACCUGCGUCCAAUGUCAGGGGCUGCACCAGGGAUGCUGACCAGGCUUCAGAUGGUGUGAGCGGACCCUGAGCCCUGGACAGAGGUGAUUCCCUGUGGGUCACAGACAUGUUCACUUUGUCUUGGAAGGCCGCUGCUCAGCCAUCUACUCCCUAAGGAGAAGACAAAAUAGCCUGGAAACAAGUAAUAAAGAGUAAGAAGUUUUUCUCAGCUAGGUAUGGCACUACCUGCUCUCCCCACCCCACGAACAUUUGGAAAUGUGUGCAUGUGUCUGUGUGUGUGUAUUGGAGGGAGUAUUUUGACUCUAUCAGUGACUUGAUAGGCAUUUCAAGACUAAGAAUGUGAGAGAUAAAUGUGGUGAGAGCCUCGAGACUGUCUCACACAACACGGAAUUUCCCACUCAAAUGCCUAUUGCAGCUCCUCAGAAGAAAUGAAUCAAUUGAUUUUAUUUUUCCUUAUAGCCCAUGUCCUCAACUGACAUGGUAUAUAUUUAUUUACUUGCUGAUCUUCUGUCUCCACACCUUUUAGAAAGUGAGCUCCAUGAGAGGUGUGACCUAACUUUUUUUUACAGCUUUAUAUUCUGACCUAUAAUGAUGGGAACUCGUGAGAUUCAUGUUUGAACAGUAUUUAAAGAUGCUUUGGAUGCAAAGAAGAGAAGAAGCAAAGUGUCCCAUGGACCUCUUACCUGGUUUCUGAUCUUUUCUAUUAUACCCCACAUAUAAGUUUGUAUUUAUUUAAAUGGCCUUGGGCCACAUGUUAGGUCUUUCUCUCAUUUGUUUUUCGUUCAUCAUUAUCUUCUUUUGGAUUUAACCUUUAAAACAAUAUUUAGCCUAGAUCAAGUGUUAUCAGCUUUAUUGAGUUUUCCUCCCAGAGAUAUUUGGCGAUGUCUGGAGAUAUUUUUUUUGUUGUUCAGGACUUACGGGUCAACGAUUGUUACCCAUUGGAUUGAGGCAAGCAAUGUUGGUAAAAUACUGCAAUGCACAGGACAAUCCUCUACAACCAAGAAUGAUCUGGUCCAAAAUGUGCAUAGUUCCAUAGCUGAAAAUCCUUUUGCAGAUAAAUAUCUUCCUAUAUGAGUUUUAACAAGAAAGAAUAUGACAAUCUCCAUGAUAAUAAAGCAGCCUCUGAAUAUUUUAUGUGAGAACAAAUCCAUGUCUACAAACUGGCCAAAUGGGAGAGGUGGAGAAGGAAGCCUGCCUUCCUGGCAAGUCUGCUUCCUGGGGAGAAGCCAGGAAGGAGUGGGUGGGCAGGCGGGAGACAAGGGUUUCUAUAGGAGCAAUAUCUCUCCAGUGUGGAAAGCAGGACAGUUCAUGUCCAAAGGGUUCCUGCCUGGCCUCCUCCUGCAUCCCCACAGAAGCCUUGGGCCUCCAGCAUUUUGGAAGAGAGGGGCCAGAAGACCCAUGGUGGCCACUGGCUCCUUGAUGGCUGAGCCAGAAACCUGGGGGCAACUUGAAUCACAGAAGUAGAAGAGGCUGAGGCAACUGAGAUCUGAGUUGGAAUGGGGGUGACAGGGACACAGGCUACUUCUUGUGAGUAUGAUGCCCUUGGGUUUGGCAAAAAUGGAGGCUGAAGUAUUGACAGGGGUAGGGAGGGCAGGGUUGGGAGGUUUUGUAGCCCUGUCUCAUCUGGGACUACAGGAGGCCCACAAUCUUCUGUUGGUCAGGCCGCAACGUGGAUUCAAUAUAGGGGGAAAAGUGUAUCUGCAGCAGGGGCAGAGCAUGAUGGUCAGGACUUGGGAUCUUAUCAUUCCAAACAAAAUUCUUUGCUUAGUUGGCUCCACAGGAGAAGGACAGUGCUUCUGGCAGCUUGGCAGCCCUGUCCAUGGGACUGGUGGAAGUGGCCUGAGGUGUUCAGUGACCCAUGUUGGUGAGACAAAGAGCCCAACAGUGUGAAAGCAGUUGGGAUUUGAGUCUCCAAAGGUACCUGGAGGACCCCCACUCUUAGGGGUUACCCAACAGGUGAGUGUCUUCAGUGGAAAAUGGGCCCCACUGGUGGCCCCUGCUAUAGGCAGAGGUAGGGCCCAAGGCCCUGGAGUUGGAGUCCUCAUCCAGCUGAGGAUUUGGAUCUUGGGCUGGUGCUGUCCCUACAGCAGGGGCUCAGCAGACUGAGACAGUUGUAUAUCUGGCUCUGUCUUAUCUUACAGAGAAAUAGAGGCUUUUGUUCAGAGUUCUCACCUUGGCACAAGGAAGGGACCAUCCUGGUUCUCUUCUAGGGCUUAAUUUCGCCCUGGUUCUGUCUCCUGCUCUCACUGCCCUGCUCUCAAAGAGCAGUUCCUUGUCAAACCUCGUUGUCAAACCUCGUUGUCUGAGGCCUCAGCACAGUGCCCCUAGUACUGGAGUCUGGGCUCUCCUUGAUGUUGGAGGACUUGAAGUGCUGGGUACCUAUGUGGGAAUAGAAAAGAGCCCCUCUGCACUCAGAAGAGUGAUCUUGAGGUCCUGGGGCCCCAAACCUCUCUGCAGUGCCCAGUAGACCAAACGCAUACACCUCAGGUAACUCUUGUAGACCUGAAGAGGGCUAGGUAUUUGAAUCAGGGCCCCUGCCUCAUAAAUUGCCUCCAAGCCCAGAUGGCCAGCAUGUGGGGGAAGUUGCGGGUCCCAGUACUGGGGCAUCUUGGCAGGUGGUCGUGACUCUGGGAGGGACCUAUGCUCACCCUGGGUGCACUGGGCACAGGGUGGGCUUGAAUGCUCACACACAGUGGUUCUGAAGGAGAGGGUGGAGGAGUGGGUGCCUGUGAGCAGGCAUUCAGCUUCCAGAGGCUCCCCAAAUUCAGACAUGGCCUGAGUGAGUCAUGCAGGAUUCUGGUGACACUGGGCAUCGCAGCUGUAGGAUGCUUCUUGGGACUCUGGUGCCAGCACCCUGUGGAUAUGUGACAAAGUGGAUGUCUUGAGCUCAGAGGCAGUGCAGAGGGCACCUCUGCUGUCUUGAGAACCAGGGACACUCAGGCCUCGGCUCUCCACAGCUGGUCACAGGUAGUUGGAUCUGGGAGAGGGUUCAGGAGCUGCCUCUAGUCUUGUAUUUGAGAUGUGAAGGAAGAAAGGAUAAUUUCUACCAGGUCAUGAAAAUUGUAGAUAGGCAGCUGCUUCAUGAUGGUGGAGAACACAUACUGACCGAAAGGCAUUCCAUUUGACAUAGUGAAAACGAUAAUGCACUGGAAUGCUCUUUUAAGGACAAAGAGAUAACUUAGUUUUAUCAGUAACUGUGAUGCCUGUUUUAUUCUUCUAGUUCAUUGUUAAUGUCACUUUCUUAGUUUACCUCUUAAGGAAAUGGUGAAAGCCAACCAAGAUUCAUGUUUCAGCACAGGAAUGUGGAUUUUAUGUGGACUGUCAUAGCAUUUUAAGCUUUCAUGUUUUAUGAAUGAAGGACAGAAAUAAAGGUUGCUAAUUUAAGAAUCAAAUCCAAGAUAGACAAGAGAAUCUGCCCAGAGUGUGAGAGGUGGAUAGGUGAGUGGUGAGGACAACAGAAAGACCCUCCUCCCCUAAUGAGGGACCAUCCAGGGCUCCUAUGCUUCAGGGAGGAGCCCCAGGUUUGAGGGCAGGGUGCCGUUAGCCCAUAGGUGAUGGGAAUAAGAUCCCAAACUGGCCAGUCUCCGAGAAAGUCCAUUUUCAGGUAUAGGUUCACAUCUCACUCGCCAGUCACCUGCCUGGAUGGGAACAUUGGGUACUCCUCUCCUGCGGAUCCUCAGUCCUGUUCUUCUCUGAGGGAGCCCCCUCAAUCUACAGGGCAUCACCCACCCUGCACUGAGGGCCUUGGAUGUGUAAAUGGGCCAGGUGGAACCACAGGCAUUCCUGGACUUAGGGACAACCCUGAGAGAGGGAUGACGGCCAUUCCUUGGAGUCUGGAGGCUGGGAAGUUGCUGGCUGAAGAGGACAGAACCUACAGGGGCUGGUGUAGGCAUGGAGGGUGGGGGAUGUCUCAGUGCUUUGGGGCUCUCACCUCUAGCAUGAUUCACCCUGGGCUUAUGUUCCCCAUGAGCAGAUGUGCUGGAGUACAUCUUUCUGGGGUUAUAGUGGAACCUCAUGUGGAGAGAAAUCUUGGCCUGCAUGUACCCCUCUAUUGUUGGGUCUGAGCCCAGGAGUUCCCUCUCCCUACAGAAGACUCAUGUCUCUGAUUCACACGCUGCCUUCAGGGAGAUGCCACCCAGGUGGGCUGAGGUGGGGUGGGGUCUGUAGAUGUGGGUGGAACCACCCUGGAGACUGUUUCUUCACUCAGAGGGUGCACCUUGUCUCAGUGUCUCAGCUUGAGACCUGUGCUCUCCAAACACUUAUCCCACCUCUGACCAGGACAAUGCAGGCAGAUUGCAUUGGGUCAAUUGCAUUUCAUCUCUGUGUUAUUAUCCACGUGGGUGUCCUCCAGUCUGUUCCCAUUGUCCAUGUCAGAGUCCAGGCACCAUCUACACCUACCUCUGGAGGAGGAAUAGGACUGUGGUUCCUAACAGCUUAUCACGUGCUCCCACCCCUCAUCCCAUGACCGCUACCCAUCCUUCCACUGUGGAGAUGAUGCAACUGAGAGCAACAAGAGCUGGGAUUUGGAGUGGAAUGUGACCUUGAGCGAACAAUAAUGACAAUGUCAGUUCACAUUUUUGAAGAGUUAUUGACUCAAAUAUUUCACCUUUUCCCAUUGCCUAUUCACAACAGCUCUGUAAAUAAAGUACAUCAUGAGCAUUAAUUUACAGAUAAGAAGAAAAUUCUAUUUACAGUUUAACAACACGUAGGAGGGGAAGAGGGUCACUCAUAUAUAACAGUCAGCCUGUUGGGGUCACUUUUACUGGAACUGACUGGGUUGGAGACCUCACAGUGAUAAUCCCCAGCAUCUUUCCUCCUGACAGGGUGUAUGGUGAGGGUGCUACUGUCCUGGGACAGCUCCAUCCUCUCUGUGAGAUGCGGCCUCUGGUUACUGAAGAAUCAGUGGAUAGAGAUCCCAGUGUCAUUUGCGAGGCAUGUCAGGACCAUGGUGUUCAGUGACUGUGGUGUUGCUGGCUUGGAUGGAGGGCUGUGCCACUGGGUCUGUAGAGAAACAGAGGGGUGACUGACAGAGUGGGCCUCAUUCCUUCCUUAGAGAUCUCUGCCACUCACAGGGCCAUAGUGAGUUCUGUAAAUGUGACCCAGAAAUGGUCCUGACCCUCAGUAGGAAGACGAGUGUCUCUGUUCAGGUGAUGGUCUGUAAGGAGCUGGCUGCACCUCCCCCUUUGACUGCCAUAUCAUCCCAGGUUGACCCCUGAUUAGUCCCCAUGGACAUCUCUGUAAUUUCAGCACCAGGAACCUCUUCUCAUCCCACAUGCCCUACAAUGUCAUCAUCAGAUGAAAUUUUUCUUUCAUGAACUUUCAUUGAUUUCCCCCCAGAGCUUUCUUUGGCUUCAAAAAGGAUCAGGCCACAUUCCUUAUAUACACUUCUGUAUGUGUUGGAGAAGGCAGGCUUGCCAGCCGUGUCCAUCUCUGGGGCCAAGGGAAGGUUACAUAUAGUGGGAAGUCAUUUACUUCUUGUUAACUAAUUUGUUAAGGAAGGAGGAUGCCCGACCAUUCAGUCUUCACAACCUUAGGACCUGGAGAGCUUCUAAUCUAAAGGAUUUCUCACUCUGAAGAGGACUUUUACUUCCUGGCUUGUGGAUUGAAUAUCACAGGGAAGCAAUUCUCUAGAGAGAAGUGGUUACAGUUUUAACAAAAGACAGGCACUGUUAGGAAUAGAAGGAAACUACUCAAUGUAACAAAAGUAAUAAAUGAAAAGCCCACAGCUAACAUAAUACUCAAUGGGGAAACACUGAAAACUUUUCUCUAGGAUCAUGAAGAAGACAAGGAUGCUGCUUUCACCACUUCUAUUCAACAUAGUACAGGAGUCCUAGCCAAAACAAUUAGGCAAGAAGAAGAAAUAAAAGUCAUCCAAAUUGGAAAGGAAGAGAAAAAUUAGCUUUUAGAAGAUAUAAUCUUAUUUGUGGAAACCAUAAAGGAUUCCUUCCCCAUACAAAAAGAAUGUUAGAACUAGUAAACAAAUUCAGCAAAGUUGUAGGAAACAAAAUCAACACUCAAAAUCAAUUACAUUUAUAUGCAAUAACAAUGAACAACCCCAAAAAGAAAUUAAGAAUACAAUUCCAAGUACAACAGCAUGAAAAAGAAUAAAAUACUUAGGCAUCAAAUAACCAAGGAGGUAAAAGAUGUGUACACUGAAAACUACUAAACAUUUUGAAAGAAAGUAAAGCAGACAGAAAUAAAUGAAAACACCCAUGUUCAUGCAUGGGAAGGAUUAAUUUUGUUAAGAUGUCAAUAUACUCCAAACUAUUUACAUAUUGAAUAAAAUUCCUAUAAAAAUCCCAAUGACUUUUUUUUUCCAGA